GAAGGGAUGGCUGAGAGGUUGAAAGCAAUAGAUUGUAAAUCUAUCUAAGAUUAAUAAUACACGUAGGUUCAAAUCCUACUUUCUUCA
rnacentral:tRNA from 1 species